ensembl:lncRNA
UGUAAGUUCCUCACUCCAGUUCAAAAUGGUUGCACAUCGAGGACAUACCGAGAAGCAGAGACAAGCAACACCCACCCGCGAGUCUAUAAAUAAUAUAAACACGCCGUCGACUCACAUAACCUUCAGACGGAGAACCUGAAAGGAUCGCAGCCUCACUUUCUAAACAAAGCAAUGGCGCCAGGCGAUGUUAUGAACCCCCACUACGGGUGGGGGUUGAAGAAAAAUCCCCACCUGCUGAAAGAAUACACUGAGAAAUAUGUAGGAAAGUCACUGCACCACCCCUCUGCAUUGCUGUCCACUGCCAAGCAUGGCUCAGCUGAGCAGGUGGUGAGGAAGGUGCUCCUAACCAAGGCAAUGUGUGAAAUCUUCGUUAUCUUGGCUAAUGGUCAAAGGUGUCAGAUGCUCCUAAGCGCCAUGCAGCUGCAAGUAAUGAUUGUGAGCAUUUUCAAAGAGGAAGUGCUGAAAAUGCUCAUCAAAAAAGGAUACAAUAAGGAUAAUAUCAGGCUGGUGGCUGAUGACAAGCCACUGGAUGAUGACUCUGCACCAGUGAAAAAAUACGGGAUCAAAGCCGGCUCAACUGUACAGAUGACAGACAACCUGGAAAGAUCACAUGUUCCCCGCCUAAACAAGGAAAAUUGUAAACUCGGCAUUAUCUUGCCUGAUGGUCGGAGGUUGUCAAUGAUGCUGUGCCCCGGACAGCUGCAGAGUAUGACUGUAAGCCAGUUCAAAGAGGACAUACUGAGAGUGUGGGCCAUCCAUGGAUACACUGAGAAACAUGUCACUCUGCAAGUUGAAGGCAAGACACUGGACAACCCCUCUGCAUUGCUGGCUGAUUGCGGAAUCAAAGCCGGCUCAAUUGUGCAGAUGCUUUUAGAAGUCUUCAUUAUCUUGCCUGAUGGUCGGAGGGUGUCGAUGAUGCUGUGCCCCGGACAACUGCAGAGUAUGACUGUAAGCCAGUUCAAAGAGGACAUACUGAGAGUGUGGGCCAUCCAUGGAUACACUGAGAAACAUGUCACUCUGCAAGUUGAAGGCAAGACACUGGACAACCCCUCUGCAUUGCUGGCUGAUUGCGGAAUCAAAGCCGGCUCAAUUGUGCAGAUGUUUUUAGAAGUCUUCAUUAUCUUGCCUGAUGGUCGGAGGCACGUGAUGCCUCUGAGCGCUAAACAGCUGCAAGAAAUGACUGUGAGCCUUCUCGAAGAGGAAGUGCUAAAAAUGCUCAUGAUGAAAACUGUUGUAGGAUACACUAAGGAUGUUUUGAAGCUGCACAUUGAUGGCAUGCCACUGGACAACGGCUUUGUACUAAAAAUCAAAGCCGGCAAAAAAGUGCAGGCGGUGAUUAUGGUUCACGGAGGAUGAAGGAGUCCAUCAUGAAUUCAUGUGACUACAUCAAAUUUACAGGAUAUACCGAACCAUAAAUACAUGUAAAGAACAAAACAAAAAAUUCUGAUUGAAGUAUUGCAUCUAUGGCUUUCCUUCUCCUUUGUACUUUCUUCACAUUUUACGCCUCCUAUCAUACCUAUAGUCAGCACUAAUUCAGUAUUACAUAUUAAUAAUGAUUAAUUGAGGUGCAAAAGUUUUGUUUUAUUUUAUUACCAAGUUUCUGGGGCUUCUGUUUUCGCAGUCAGAGGUGUGUGCCUGAGAUGACAAUAUUAGCUCAUAUUAUUAUUGUUACAGGAAGAAAUUAGAAUAAAUGUAACGAUACACAGACGAACCUCCACAAAGUAAAUACUGAAACAAACGAACACAUUGAUUGUCAAUUUCCUAUGUGAUACAUUAUCUUUUUACAAUGUACAUGAAUAAAUGCACAUCACCAAAUGUUAUUGGUUGGCUCACUGAUGUCUGUAUGUAAACAUUGUGAUUCACAAAUGAUCCUAGAUUAUAUUUUAAAACGUAAUUGUUCAUUUUCUGUGACAUGUUUUGUUCAGUUAACAAUCACAACAAUUAAGUAAAUCUUUUUCAGAAUAUGUUUAAUGACUCAAAGCUAAAUGUGGAAGAAAUAAAUAGGAAUCUGGCUUCCUCGUGGUUUGCAUCAUUUAACUUUGAUAAAAUAGAAGACUGUCUCGGAGAAAUCAGACUGUCAAUGAAAAAAUUAAAUGCAAAACGUUCCAUUAUGUAACCUCAAAGAAACGUUCUCUGAGGAAAUUUCCACCUUAUCCUGAUUAUUAUAUUAGUUUAGCUGUUUCUGUAAAUACUUUAAAAUCAACAUUGGGACAACUAAACCACAUUUUCCAAUAACAAAUUUAAAGAAGAGAUCAUAUUUUACAUGAUGAUUUUUACUUAUCUGCAUGGGCUCUAAGUAACGUCAUGGCAGGAAGAAAGAAAAAUCUACAAGCUUAUAUCAAAUGAGGUGUUGCUAACUUGUUCAAAUCCUGGCGUUGGAGCUUGGACAAUUCAGGCCAAUAUUUUACUCAAAUACAUCAGGCCACAUUUAAGUAUUUUGUUAUGAUCUUUAAUUUGAGUUUCUAGUUAUAAUCUUAAUUAUUUUUACCCUUUGCUCUUUUCACCACACCAAACCAAUAAAGGACCAAACUGCCUGUCCAUUUCUUGCUCCACUCUCCC